CCUACGGGAGGCAGCAGUGAGGAAUAUUGGUCCCUGGACGCAAGUCUGAACCAGCCAUGCCGCGUGCAGGAUGACGGCUCUCUGAGUCGUAAACUGCUUUUGUAUGAGGGUAAACGCCACUACGUGUAUAUGUCUGAAAGUAUCAUAUGACUAAGGAUCGGCUAACUCCGUGCCAGCAGCCGCGGUAAUACGGAGGCUUCGAGCGUUAUCCGGAUUUAUUGGGGUUAAAGGGUGCGUAGGUGGUCGGAUAAGUUAGUGGUGAAAGUCUGAGGCUCAACCUUGGAAUUGCAUCUGAUACUGUCCGUCUAGAGAGCAUUUGAGGUAGGCGGAAUGUGUGGUGUAGCGGUGAAAUGCUUAGAUAUCACGCAGAACGCCGAUUGCGAAGGCAGCUUAC
rnacentral:rRNA from 1 species